rnacentral:rRNA from 1 species
UGGGGAAUAUUGCACAAUGGGCGAAAGCCUGAUGCAGCAACGCCGCGUGAGGGACGACGGCCUUCGGGUUGUAAACCUCUUUAGCAAGGAAGAAGCGAAAGUGACGGUACUUGCAGAAAAAGCGCCGGCUAACUACGUGCCAGCAGCCGCGGUAAUACGUAGGGCGCAAGCGUUAUCCGGAAUUAUUGGGCGUAAAGAGCUCGUAGGCGGUUUGUCGCGUCUGCUGUGAAAACCCGAGGCUCAACCUCGGGACCUGCAGUGGGUACGGGCAGACUAGAGUGCGUAGGGGAGAUUGGAAGCUCCUGGUGUAGCGGUGGAAUGCGCAGAUAUCAGGAAGAACACCGAUGGCG